rnacentral:misc_RNA from 1 species
CCGAGCUGGAGGUAUUUCCUCCCUUUUUUCACCGCUAAUUAUUUUCAUUUUCUGUCUAGUUGCCGAGAAAAAAGAGGAAAGGAAGUUAUGGAUCUUUGAUCUUUCACUUUGUUGGAAGCCUGAGGGCUGAAGGAAUUUAGUAAAAUUCUAUUUUGGUUACUAUCACAUUAAUUAAUUUAUUCGAUGGGAAAAUUUAGGAUAGUGGGAGGAAUUGGAUUAGUGGAUCCAACAAUGAAUUAUUUGAUUCAUUUGAGUUCAAUGCCAUAUAAGUCGAGUUAUUCAUUUAUUUUCUAGGAAAUCUAAUUCAGUUUUCCGCCCCUUUUCCUUUUCUUUUGCUUACAAUUGGGUUAUUGGUAUUGGGUUUAAUUGUAAUUCAGCUAGUAUGAGUGAUGAAGCCUCACUUGGUAGAAGUUUUAAAAUAAAGACAGUGGUUUAGCUAAAUUAAUGAGUUAUUUCUAUUAUCUUGUUUGCCACUGUAUUAUGGCUGCACGGCUGCACCAACAUUGGGAUCUCAACCGCCACUAACAUUCAAACAGCCAGUUAUGGUAUACUCAGUUGUAAUAACUAUCACUGCCUAUGUUUUAUCUGCCCAUUUUCUUGUGUUGUGAGCACUAGUUUGCCGGAUUGGUGACAUCUUUCCUCAAAUGCUGUUGCAUUGUUUCUUCCGCCUUCAUUUGCACAAAUCUUUUGGGUUGUUUCUUGCUAAUGACCAAUGCUCAAAUUGAAAUUAACUGAUUUCUUGCUUGAACAAUUUAAAUCAUGAUUACAGUCAUUUGUUUGGGAGAUUCUUAUGUGAUAUAACAUGUAUCAGAUGCUAUUUACUUAAAUACUUUCUGAGACAAGGGAUGUAUCAGUUGUCAUAUCGAGUUCAGUCUAGUGGGCUGAUAAGAUUCCAACUUAACCUUUCUCUUUAUCCUUUUCAAUGUUUAAAGCCAAGGUAGUACAAAUAGUUGAUAAUCCAUAGAUUAUUUUUUAAGCCAUGUCUACAAUUUAUGUGCUUGAUUGUGAAUUUUUAGUUAUUGAAUGGCCAGGCUUUCCUUCCUUUCCACGUGUUGCUUUUCUGCUCCCUUUCUCUAAAAUAACAACUUUUUUACAGGAUAGUUUGAUAAUUUCUUGGUCUGUCUAUUUUUAUCUCCAAUGAGUUGUACCCUUAACCCUUCCUCUCGAGGGGCAGAGGAACUACUUAAUUACAGAGGUCAAUUUGUUUAGGUUGAUAUGGAAUGGUAGGUUCUUUUCUGGAUUCUCCUGAGAGUGUCAUGAGAUUUAAAAUGAUCUCUUGCCAUCAGAUGGCAUGAACAUGGACAUAUAAUUGGUUUCAAAUUGCUGUAACCUUUGAGUGAAAGGUGGAUUAACUGCAUGUCAGCACAUUGUUGUGUUAAGUUCAAUUUGGAAAUAUUUGUUGCAUGGUGUAUGAUAUAUGGUGUCAAGCUAGAUAUAUUAAUGUCAUAUGUUCUCAAGGUAUCUUGUUGGGUGCAUGCUUUAGAUUGAUGCGCUUCAUAGCAAGGGGCGGUGGCCAAGUCAGAAUUUUUAUUCAGUGGGGUCAAAAGUUUUAUCUUUAUGUAUUUAUAAAACAUUUUUUUUUUAAUGUAUUUUUUAUUUACAAAAUAUUGUGUCAUUAGCAAAAAAAAUGUAUUCUUUUAAUAAAAAUAUGUUAAAAUUUCAAUUUAUUAAACUUUGUUUUGAGAUGAAAUGUACAAUAUU